rnacentral:rRNA from 1 species
AACGUAGGAGACGAACGUUAUCCGGAGUUACUGGGCGUAAAGGGCGUGUAGGCGGUUUGUUAAGUCUGGCGUGAAAGCUCUCGGCUAAACCGGGAGAGGUCGUUGGAUACUGGCGAACUCGAGGAUGGUAGAGGCGUGCGGAAUUCCGGGUGUAGUGGUGAAAUGCGUAGAGAUCCGGAGGAACACCAGUGGCGAAGGCGACACGCUGGGCCAUACCUGACGCUAAAGCGCGACAGCAUGGGGAGCAAACGGG